rnacentral:rRNA from 1 species
CUCCUCCUAAAGAGUAACGGAGGAGCACGAAGGUUGGCUAAUCCUGGUCGGACAUCAGGAGGUUAGUGCAAUGGCAUAAGCCAGCUUGACUGCGAGCGUGACGGCGCGAGCAGGUGCGAAAGCAGGUCAUAGUGAUCCGGUGGUUCUGAAUGGAAGGGCCAUCGCUCAACGGAUAAAAGGUACUCCGGGGAUAACAGGCUGAUACCGCCCAAGAGUUCAUAUCGACGGCGGUGUUUGGCACCUCGAUGUCGGCUCAUCACAUCCUGGGGCUGAAGUAGGUCCCAAGGGUAUGGCUGUUCGCCAUUUAAAGUGGUACGCGAGCUGGGUUUAGAACGUCGUGAGACAGUUCGGUCCCUAUCUGCCGUGGGCGCUGGAGAACUGAGGGGGGCUGCUCCUAGUACGAGAGGACCGGAGUGGACGCAUCACUGGUGUUCGGGUUGUCAUGCCAAUGGCACUGCCCGGUAGCUAAAUGCGGAAGAGAUAAGUGCUGAAAGCAUCUAAGCACGAAACUUGCCCCGAGAUGAGUUCUCCCUGACCCUUUAAGGGUCCUGAAGGAACGUUGAAGACGACGACGUUGAUAGGCCGGGUGUGUAAGCGCAGCGAUGCGUUGAGCUAACCGGUACUAAUGAACCGUGAGG